rnacentral:rRNA from 1 species
UACGUAGGGUGCAAGCGUUUGUCCGGAAUUAUUGGGCGUAAAGAGCUCGUAGGCGGUCUGUCGCGUCUGCUGUGAAAACCUAAGGCUCAACCUUGGGGCUUGCAGUGGGUACGGGCAGACUAGAGUGCGGUAGGGGGUGACUGGAAUUCCUGGUGUAGCGGUGGAAUGCGCAGAUAUCGGGGAGGAACACCCCGUAGCGAAGGCGGCACUCUGGGCCGGAACUGACGCUGAGGAGC